rnacentral:rRNA from 1 species
GACGAACGCUGGCGGCGUGCUUAACACAUGCAAGUCGAACGGAAAGGCCCUGCUUUUGUGGGGUGCUCGAGUGGCGAACGGGUGAGUAACCCGUGAGUAACCUGCCUUUGCUUUUGGGAUAACUUCAGGAAACUGGGGUUAAUACCGGAUAGGAGUUCCUGCUGCAUGGUGGGGGUUGGAAAGUUUCGGCGGUUGGGGAUGGACUCGCGGCUUAUCAGCUUGUUGGUGGGGUAGUGGCUUACCAAGGCUUUGACGGGUAGCCGGCCUGAGAGGGUGACCGGCCACAUUGGGACUGAGAUACGGCCCAGACUCCUACGGGAGGCAGCAGUGGGGAAUAUUGCACAAUGGGCGGAAGCCUGAUGCAGCAACGCCGCGUGCGGGAUGACGGCCUUCGGGUUGUAAACCGCUUUCGCCUGUGACGAAGCGUGAGUGACGGUAAUGGGUAAAGAAGCACCGGCUAACUACGUG